rnacentral:tRNA from 1 species
GCCCCCGUAGCUCAGGGGAUAGAGCAACGGCCUCCGGAGCCGUGUGCGCAGGUUCGAAUCCUGCCGGGGGUACC